CAGGAACCGUACCCCAAACCGACACAGGUGGUCGGGUAGAGAAUACCAAGGCGCUUGAGAGAACUCGGGUGAAGGAACUAGGCAAAAUGGCACCGUAACUUCGGGAGAAGGUGCGCCGGCUAGGGUGAAGGAUUUACUCCGUAAGCUCUGGCUGGUCGAAGAUACCAGGCCGCUGCGACUGUUUAUUAAAAACACAGCACUCUGCAAACACGAAAGUGGACGUAUAGGGUGUGACGCCUGCCCGGUGCCGGAAGGUUAAUUGAUGGGGUUAGCGCAAGCGAAGCUCUUGAUCGAAGCCCCGGUAAACGGCGGCCGUAACUAUAACGGUCCUAAGGUAGCGAAAUUCCUUGUCGGGUAAGUUCCGACCUGCACGAAUGGCGUAACGAUGGCGGCGCUGUCUCCACCCGAGACUCAGUGAAAUUGAAAUCGCUGUGAAGAUGCAGUGUAUCCGCGGCUAGACGGAAAGACCCCGUGAACCUUUACUGUAGCUUUGCACUGGACUUUGAGCCUGCUUGUGUAGGAUAGGUGGGAGGCUUUGAAGCGUGGACGCCAGUUCGCGUGGAGCCAUCCUUGAAAUACCACCCUGGCAUGCUUGAGGUUCUAACUCUGGUCCGUGAUCCGGAUCGAGGACAGUGUAUGGUGGGCAGUUUGACUGGGGCGGUCUCCUCCUAAAGAGUAACGGAGGAGUACGAAGGUGCGCUCAGACCGGUCGGAAAUCGGUCGCAGAGUAUAAAGGCAAAAGCGCGCUUGACUGCGAGACAGACACGUCGAGCAGGUACGAAAGUAGGUCUUAGUGAUCCGGUGGUUCUGUAUGGAAGGGCCAUCGCUCAACGGAUAAAAGGUACUCCGGGGAUAACAGGCUGAUACCGCCCAAGAGUUCAUAUCGACGGCGGUGUUUGGCACCUCGAUGUCGGCUCAUCACAUCCUGGGGCUGAAGCCGGUCCCAAGGGUAUGGCUGUUCGCCAUUUAAAGUGGUACGCGAGCUGGGUUUAGAACGUCGUGAGACAGUUCGGUCCCUAUCUGCCGUGGACGUUUGAGAUUUGAGAGGGGCUGCUCCUAGUACGAGAGGACCGGAGUGGACGAACCUCUGGUGUUCCGGUUGUCACGCCAGUGGCAUUGCCGGGUAGCUAUGUUCGGAAAAGAUAACCGCUGAAAGCAUCUAAGCGGGAAACUUGCCUCAAGAUGAGAUCUCACUGGGAACUUGAUUCCCCUGAAGGGCCGUCGAAGACUACGACGUUGAUAGGCUGGGUGUGUAAGCGUUGUGAGGCGUUGAGCUAACCAGUACUAAUUGCCCGUGAGGCUUGACCAUAUAACACCCAAACA
rnacentral:rRNA from 1 species